rfam:Solanum lycopersicum cultivar Heinz 1706 chromosome 5, whole genome shotgun sequence.
GUCCCUUUGGGGGACCUCCGAUAAAAUUAUAACGACACAAAAAAUAUUAAUGACCCUUGUUCAAGAAUGACACACACAAAUUAAAAAAUGAUCUAAAUAUAA